rnacentral:lncRNA from 1 species
AGAAAAAUAAAAACUUACCAGGAUUUUGCCGUGCACUUUUUUUCAUUCCUCCAGAAGGUGCCAAAAUAAACAUGAUAAACUAAGUUGGGAAACAGGUUUGAGAACUUCCCCACAGGUAAUAAUUGAAGUGAGCUGUAUUGCUUGACAUGGACAUGAGAUGGACAAUAGAUACCUGACAAUAAUUGGUUAUUUAAACUGUGUACCUGAGUGGACCAUAUCAAGGUAAACUCAACUGUUUGUUAAUUUUAUCAUCUUCUGCAGGGACGAAAAAAAGUGUACGGC